CUGUAGGUGUGCAUCUUCCUCCUUUUCCUGCACUACACUAAUCACCUCUCACAAUCUAGUCCCCAGUUCAUGUUUAUCAAGAACUAACAAUCACCUUCGUAGCGAUAAUCAAACUGCAAGCAACUUGAUAACACUAGGUCAAUCACCGCAUAUGCAUGCAGUGGUUGCUUUUUAUUUUUGUUCGUCGAGCGGAAGAGGCUGCCGUUUUAUUACAUCACACAGACCAUUGCUACAUAAGGUUUGUUUUAUUACAAUCACACACGUACCAUUGCUAACAUAAGGUUUGCCUCCUCGCGAACACUAACAUUUGAGCCUGCCCAUCUUCAGUGCAGCUCCUUGAGGAAGUCCGCAUGAUCCACCAGAACCUGCAACCCCGAGAAUAACAUUAGUCACAUACUGAUAUUGUGGCCAAGGAUAAUUCAUUUUCAAGCAAUCACUACAUCAGUUCGUAAUCAAUCAUGCGUGCAAGCCAGUUCACAUACAACCUUUAAGAAUCAUGUUCAGUAUUGACAACUAUGCUGCAGCGAAAUUUGAGGAGAAGUUCCAUCUCACUUUACUAAUUUGCUUUGCGACGCUUAGGAUGCUUAGUUUCUUCGACCCCGAGAAUAACAUUAGUCACAUACUGAUAUUGUGGCCAAGGAUAAUUCAUUUUCAAGCAAUCACUACAUCAGUUCGUAAUCAAUCAUGCGUGCAAGCCAGUUCACAUACAACCUUUAAGAAUCAUGUUCAGUAUUGACAACUAUGCUGCAGCGAAAUUUGAGGAGAAGUUCCAUCACACUUUACUAAUUUGCUUUGCGACGCUUAGGAUGCUUAGUUUCUUCGACUGUGUUCUGCUAAUUAAGUGGGGUGACACCUCAAAUCUACUAAAGUUUAUCUUCCAUUAUCUAGACAAUGGAUGAUGGUGAGAGACGCAACUGGAUGAAAUACAGCUCGGACUAUCAAUAUAACCCUCCUUAAGAUGAUGCUGUUUUCCAAGUUUCUAUUUUAGUACAGAGUAACAGCUUGGCCUAGAAGGUGCCAAUGAACUAGUAGACUUUGAAACUAUGUACUGAAGGUCAGACCAAGUUAGUAGUUAAAACUAUGAAGAACCACAGUCCACAGUACCAAAUUAAUACUCAGUAUAUUUAUUAGAUACACAGUAAAAAAUAUUUUCAUAGUAUAUUUAUUAGGUAUUGUUGUUCAUAGUUUUUCUUACAAACAUGGUCAGAUAAUGUACGUUUUAGCUUCAGACGAAAUUUAUAGGCCUUCUUUUCAGAGACGGGAGGGAGUAUGCACUAACUGGCAAUAAUUCAUUUCUACAGAGGAACUAGCAAUUGAUCUGUCACUACAUUAGUUAUGUAGGCCAAUUGAAUUAUUCUUCGUUUUGUUUCAAAUUAAUUCAUUUAACUGCCAAAGUACGUUGACUACAGUAAGCUCUUCAGAUUUUAAACCAAGCAUUGACUGCAGCAAGCACAUCUUGCAUUCAUCAUUAACUGUUAAUGACCCCUUCAAUUCAAAUAAAGCAGUGUUAUGCAUAAGACAUCCAGAAGACAUACCACUUUCCAGCCAUCUGGGUCAAGGAAAGAGGUGAUUUUGGUGUUCAGCCCCGGCAGUGGCCCUGGCUGCCUUAGAAUCUUUCCACCUAGUUCUUUGGUAACCAGCUCAACUGCUUCAGCGCUCUUGUACACAUCGUCAGUGCCAAUAGC
rnacentral:lncRNA from 1 species